GGUGCUGUCUCUGGUGGAGACUACGGGAUGCGGCUGCACGAGAAGAACCUGCAGAAGAAGAUGCCGGUGUGGACAGAGAGGCGGACGCAGCAGGAGGCGUGUGUGGCGCAAGCGCGGGCUUAACUUGCGGGCGCGGAUUAGGGAAGAGGCCAUCUCGGUGGCGGCUUGUGACCUGGGGGACGCGCUAGCACGCGAGCCCGGUGACCAUCAUGUGUGCGUUCUGGACGUACCAUGUGGUGUAUGCCACAAUGCCAUGUGGGUUGGGCCUGCAUGAAAUGCUGAUCUGUAGCAGAUCCUCCAUCGCCUCAUCACUGGCUGCUCAAGGGCAGCAUCACACACCAAGGCCUGUGACAACAUCUUCAUGCCCAACUCUCACUCCACAUGGGAACGACACUGCUCUAUUGCUUGCUUAUUUAAGAUCAUGGCAAUCAUUUUAUCUAGCCUAUGUGUUUCUAAUUUUCUCCCCUUAUUGUUGCAGGUUAGAGUGCAGCUUUCAGACACUUCUUUCUUUGGGAUAGUUGGAAUACUAUGACUAAAUAUAGAAGAGGCUCAAAUGGUAAUGCUAUCAGUGUUUGCCCCUUCCGUGAUUUAUGCGUAGCAUGUAGACUAUCAGCGACAAUUUGAGCCUCUUUGUGAAGUAGUUUUGUAGGGUAUUGCUUCAAGUCAAGAAAAUAGCUUCCAAAGAUAGUUUAACCGAAGAGCUUCUGAUCUCUACAUGUGAAUGGUAAACUGCCAAUUUUGUACUUUACUAUUCUAUAUCAAGAAAAUAAAUAAUUGCAUCAUGGUAUUAGUGGCUUAAUUAUUUUUAUGUGCAUUGAACUAUAUAUUUUGAAGCACUUAAUAGUAUCUUUCAUGGAGGAUCUAGGACUCCUGCCAAUUUAUUGUACGGAGUUGUUCUUUGCUAAAAAAAACUUUGCUCAAUUGCGCUUUGCCUCUCAGUGUUAUCAUUAGUUAAUGGCCUAAACUGUUGACAACUUAUCAAAAAAGAAUAAUCAUAUGCAGAUGCAGAAGCAUAUUAGUCAUGCAGAAAUAAUCAUAUGCUGAAGGAAGGACUUGGAACUGUAACUAAAAACAAAAUGGUAAGUGGAGGGGCUCUGAUAUUGCAAUAAAAAGAAAUGAUAGAUAUUUCACUGGGAAGCGAACUCAGGAAGACAAAAUAAUACAAUCCUUACAUUUUCAGAUUACUCUUAUUUUCUUAUGCAUGUUCCUAUACGGAUUGGUCCUGAAUGUUUGACUUCUCGUAGAAAUGAAGAUGCAUACCCCCAACCUCAACUGUUGUGUCACCAUCGAGGACAUCUAGCUGCUUGUUAUUCUUCAGUUACUAUUGCUCUUAAGAUUCAUGUCUUAGAUAUUCUUAGGAGAGAAAUUGUAUGGAAUUUAAUGAUCAUUCAUCUCAACAAAUAUACGUGAUAUUUCCUUGUAAAAGGUUGCCUACCGAAUUUAUGGCCUACUAUUAAAGGGGAGUUUGUUUCCACUUCCACCACCUCUCGUUCGAUCCUAACCUCCUUUGGUUUUUUCCCUUGCAGCGAUUCCUCACUCCCACCGGUUUGUUUAGGAAUGGAUGCCUCUCCUCCCAUGUCCAGUUUUAGUGUUAGUUUUUGGCUCUAAUAAUCUCGUUCGACCCACCGCUACAAAUAGAUGCCACACCGCUCCUUUUGUUACGAUGGACUCAUGUGAGGCCUCGACAGACCCACUUCCUUACAGCAAAACGAAAACAAUCAACCAUCAAUCAGAAAUCUCCCUGAUAUUUCUUUCCUUCAGAUGCAUACAUAGCAGCCCAGGCCCAGCAGAUCUGCAUUUCCUUUCCUUUCCUUUUUUUGUUACACCUUUUCUUCUCUUCUUGUUAUAUCAUUUCGAAAAGAUUGAUCUACACGAUCGUCGUCUAUUCGAGACUCAUCUAGACAUGAAAAAUAUGUGCAGACUCUAGGAUACAAAUAUGCGUCAUAGAUCUACUUAGUAUAUGUACGCAAUAAAAAAUUUAAAAGGCCCAUAGCAACGCACAGGAUUCUACUGGUUGAUGUUACAAAUUGUUUAGGCCCUAGAUCUCAAGUAGCAGCUCUAACAGGAAGGGAAUAAAGUGAACUAUUAGUUGCUAUUGAUGUUACAUUUAAACCUUUGCGAUUGCUAGACAGUAGAAAUAAUUGAAAAUAUUCUCUUCUUUGCUUUCCAAUUGGUAGUAUUCAAGAUAACAAGAAAUCCAAUAUUGUUGUUUCUUGUGAAGUGUAGUUCACUUUAUUCCCUUCCUGUUAGAGCUGCUACUUGAGAUCCAGAGCCUAAACAACUUGUGACCAUAGACUGCUGAGAGUUAUCAUAUUUGAUCUUCAAGUGCAAUCCUUCAGUUGUUCUAUUGCAUCUCCGAGCCAUAUUAGCAUACAUUUCCAAUCAACAAUUGACUACUGGGUCAGUUAUUACUAUCUCUGAGAAAUUCUUUCUUAAUUUGUCCUAUAAACAAUUAAAUUCAUUAUUGGCCAUGAAGUUCACUGCAAAUUUGCUGCGCAGUUUUUAUUUCAGAGAUACAUGUGAAUAUUUUUUUGUUUAUUACUUUUGCCGAAUAUGAAUAGUUCAUUUGAGAUCCCUCUAACAAAACACGAUAAGAAAGGGGAAGAAUUAACCUACAGGGAGGCAUGAUCGAGGUCGUUGCUCAUGCAUGUUUGAUGGCAUUGUUUCAGGCGCCCACCGACUGUGUGUAUGCCUGUUACCUACGGCGUCGUUGUUUCUUCCCUCGGUCGAGCGUGGUCCACCAGCCACUACCUGUAGGCAAUAGCAUUAGGCCGGCAACUAUCGCGGAUCAAGGGUACAAAUCAACCAGACUAGGAGAGGGGGUGGUGGUCUACGUAGUGGCAGGGAGAGGAAGCGAUGGCUGACACCAAGGCUGGGAGAGGAGCCGGCAGAUGACUCUAUGGCGGGACAAGAGGAGCAGUGGCAGGGAGAGAAAGCGGGACUAUGCCAUGUGAGUUGCUGAAGUUGUGCCUUGUGAGGUGGGGAUAAGGGAUGUGUGUUGUGCAUGUGUAGUGAGAGGCGUGGAGUAGCUUUUCCUUUUUGAGGGAGGCUGUUUAUUUGUCUAGAACAGAUUAGCUUCUUUUCCUUUCUCCCUUGUGAACUGAGAGGAGUGGUUAUUAUGCCACGAGAGAAGUGUCAGAUAUUCUAGAAAUAGCAAAAAAUGUUCUAAAGAUAAUAGCCAAACAAGUGAUCUAGAGAAUGUCCUAUGUUGCUACAAAGCAGGAUGUGACUCACUCCACACAUGCAUACCAUGUAUAUAUUUUGGACUCACUCUACAUCACAUUUGGUAGAGAAUAAAGCUAUGAGAUAUCGAAAUUACUGAGAUUUUCAAGGGACUUCAAUAACGCACUUGAAAUAGCAUUUCACAACCUAUAUUCUCUGUCGGCUGAUAUUCCAAUGAGCACAGACAAGUAUAUUUAUCUAUUUUAUUUUCAUAAUCAAGAUACAUGCAAUUAUUUUAUCAUCAUUAUAUUUAUAUUCUAGAUAAUAAUAAUUUAUUCGUUACAAGAGUGUGUUGGGUUAUUUUGUACUGCCGUCGUUUCUAAAUAUAAG
rnacentral:lncRNA from 1 species